rnacentral:rRNA from 1 species
CUGACACAGGUGCUGCAUGGCUGUCGUCAGCUUGUGUCGUGAGAUGUUGGGUUAAGUCCCGUAACGAGCGCAACCCUUGUCCUUAGUUACCAGCACGUUAUGGUGGGCACUCUAAGGAGACUGCCGGUGACAAACCGGAGGAAGGUGGGGAUGACGUCAAGUCAUCAUGGCCCUUACGGCCUGGGCUACACACGUGCUACAAUGGUCGGUACAAAGGGUUGCCAAGCCGCGAGGUGGAGCUAAUCCCAUAAAACCGAUCGUAGUCCGGAUCGCAGUCUGCAACUCGACUGCGUGAAGUCGGAAUCGCUAGUAAUCGUGAAUCAGAAUGUCACGGUGAAUACGUUCCCGGGCCUU